CCUACGGGAGGCAGCAGUGAGGAAUAUUGGUCAAUGUGCGCGAGCCUGAACCAGCCAAGUAGCGUGAAGGAUGACUGCCCUACGGGUUGUAAACUUCUUUUAUAAAGGAAUAAAGUGAGGCACGUGUGCCUUUUUGUAUGUACUUUAUGAAUAAGGAUCGGCUAACUCCGUGCCAGCAGCCGCGGUAAUACGGAGGAUACGAGAGUUAUCCGGAUUUAUUGGGUUUAAAGGGAGCGUAGAUGGGUUGUUAAGUCAGUUGUGAAAGUUUGCGGCUCAACCGUAAAAUUGCAAUUGAUACUGGCAGUCUUGAGGACAUUUGAGGGAGGCGGAUUUAGUGGUGUAGCGGUGAAAU
rnacentral:rRNA from 1 species